rnacentral:lncRNA from 1 species
UGAUUCUCCUUGGCUCUUAUGAGAUAAGAGUGUCAGAAAGGAACUCAGUUUCCAUUUGACUGGAUGCCAUGGAACUUCAAUGUAAGGGACACCAUUUUGAUUUUUAGUCUGGACUGUAGGGGCCCAGUGCGGAAAUUGACUCCAAAACAACACUCUCAUAAUUUUUAGCACAGCAUAGCAGACUUCAUGGACAAUAACUUCUGGGGAGCCUCUAUCAUCACAGGAUUUGCUGUCAAUAAGGUUUCUCUGGAAAUACUAGAAGGUAUCUAAUUCCUCAUUUUUUCUGUUGGAAACCCAAAAUGUCUCACUUUUCUCCCCCAUCACUUAUGAGGAAAUACAAGCACAUUUUCCUAAUUUAUUUUAUACUGACAGUUGGAAAAGGAAAAAAGCAAAGAAAAUUCCAAUUUGUUUCCAAGUAAUUAAAAUCAAUACAAUCUCAACUUCUUCCAAUCUUUGCUUCCAUGAAAAGCAGCCCAUAACAGCAAAGGCCUUGUUCACUUUCCUUUUCUGUUUUUACUAGGAAGUCCUACUGGAAGCAUGUAAGCUUGCAAGUUCUCUUGCUUAAGGCACAAGUAUUUGACAUUUACAUAAAAACAUUUUUUAAGAACAACAGCAAGAAUCCACCAAAUGCCUAAUCAUGGGAGUUCCUGGCAGGCCUUGUGGGGGUUUUUUGUUUUGUUUUGUUUUGCCCCCCAGGGCUUUAUGAUUUUGAUUAAGGUGCCUCAACAGGGGCCUUAUAUGAGCAGUUACUCAACAUCAAGGACAAAGAAAACCUUCUAUAUGUCCUCCAACCCCCUAGGGCCACCAGAGACCUGCAGUGAUCAAACCCCAGUGUACACAGGGGCUAUAUGAAAUCACCAAAUUGCUGGGCAUUCUGUGGGCCCUUAUAGUCCCAGCUACUUCGAAGACAAACAGGAGGAUCACUCAAGACCAGAUGUUCAAGGCUGUGGUGAGAUUUGACCACAACUGUGACUAGCUGCAUUCCAAUCUGUCUCAAAAAAAAAAAAAAAGAAAAAGAAAAAAAAAACAUUUUGGGAGGCCGAGGCGGGUGGAUCACUUCAGAUUGGGAGUUUGAGACCAGCCUGGCAAACAUGGUGAAACCCCGUCUCUACUAAAAAUACAAAAAUUCGCCAGGCGUGGUGGCGCAUGCCUGUAAUCCCAGCCAUUUGGGAGGCUGAAGCAUGAAAAUCGCUUGAACCUGGGAGACGGAGGUUGCAGUGAGCCAAGAUGGCUUCAAUUGCCCUCCAGUCUGGGUGACAGAGCGAGAUGAAAGAAAGGAAGAAAGAGAGAAAGAAGGAAAGAAGAAAGAAAGAAAGAAAGAAAGAAAGAAAGAAAGAAAGAAAGAAAGAAAGA